rnacentral:rRNA from 1 species
UACGUAGGGGGCAAGCGUUGUCCGGAGUUAUUGGGCGUAAAGAGCGUGUAGGCGGCUAGGUAGGUCCGUUGUGAAAACUCGAGGCUCAACCUCGAGACGUCGAUGGAAACCAUCUAGCUAGAGUCCGGAAGAGGAGAGUGGAAUUCCUGGUGUAGCGGUGAAAUGCGCAGAUAUCAGGAAGAACACCCGUGGCGAAGGCGGCUCUCUGGUACGUGACUGACGCUGAGACGCGAAAGCGUGGGGAGCGAACAGG